rnacentral:rRNA from 1 species
AUGCUUGACCUCAAAUCAGGUAGGACUACCCGCUGAACUUAAGCAUAUCAAUAAGCGGAGGAAAAGAAACUAACAAGGAUUCCCCUAGUAACUGCGAGUGAAGCGGGAAAAGCUCAAAUUUAAAAUCUGGCGGUCUUUGGCCGUCCGAGUUGUAAUCUAGAGAAGUAAUGCCCGUGCUGGACCGUGUAUAAGUCUCCUGGGAUGGGGCGUCAUAGAGGGUGAGAAUCCCGUCUUUGACACGGACUACCAGUGCAUUGUGGUAUGCUCUCAAAGAGUCGAGUUGUUUGGGAAUGCAGCUCAAAAUGGGUGGUAAAUUCCAUCUAAAGCUAAAUAUUGGCGAGAGACCGAUAGCGAACAAGUACCGUGAGGGAAAGAUGAAAAGAACUUUGGAAAGAGAGUUAAACAGUACGUGAAAUUGCUGAAAGGGAAACGCUUGAAGUCAGUCGCGUUGGCCAGGGAUCAGCCUUGCUUUUGCAUGGUGUACUUUCUGGUUGACGGGUCAGCAUCAAUUUUGACCGCUGGAAAAGGGCCUGGGGAAUGUGGCAGCUUCGGCUGUGUUAUAGCCCCUGGUCGCAUACAGUGGUUGGGAUUGAGGAACUCAGCACGCCGCAAGGCCGGGUUUCGACCACGUUCGUGCUUAGGAUGCUGGCAUAAUGGC